rnacentral:rRNA from 1 species
CUUCGGGGUACUCGAGUGGCGAACGGGUGAGUAACACGUGGGUGAUCUGCCCUGCACUUUGGGAUAAGCCUGGGAAACUGGGUCUAAUACCGAAUAGGACCACGCGCUUCAUGGUGUGUGGUGGAAAGCUUUUGCGGUGUGGGAUGGGCCCGCGGCCUAUCAGCUUGUUGGUGGGGUAAUGGCCUACCAAGGCGACGACGGGUAGCCGGCCUGAGAGGGUGACCGGCCACACUGGGACUGAGAUACGGCCCAGACUCCUACGGGAGGCAGCAGUGGGGAAUAUUGCACAAUGGGCGCAAGCCUGAUGCAGCGACGCCGCGUGAGGGAUGACGGCCUUCGGGUUGUAAACCUCUUUCAAUAGGGACGAAGCGCAAGUGACGGUACCUAUAGAAGAAGCACCGGCCAACUACGUGCCAGCAGCCGCGGUAAUACGUAGGGUGCGAGCGUUGUCCGGAAUUACUGGGCGUAAAGAGCUCGUAGGUGGUUUGUCGCGUUGUUCGUGAAAACUCACAGCUUAACUGUGGGCGUGCGGGCGAUACGGGCAGACUAGAGUACUGCAGGGGAGACUGGAAUUCCUGGUGUAGCGGUGGAAUGCGCAGAUAUCAGGAGGAACACCGGUGGCGAAGGCGGGUCUCUGGGCAGUAACUGACGCUGAGGAGCGAAAGCGUGGGGAGCGAACAGGAUUAGAUACCCUGGUAGUCCACGCCGUAAACGGUGGGUACUAGGUGUGGGUUCCUUCCUUGGGAUCCGUGCCGUAGCUAACGCAUUAAGUACCCCGCCUGGGGAGUACGGCCGCAAGGCUAAAACUCAAAGGAAUUGACGGGGGCCCGCACAAGCGGCGGAGCAUGUGGAUUAAUUCGAUGCAACGCGAAGAACCUUACCUGGGUUUGACAUGCACAGGACGCCGGCAGAGAUGUCGGUUCCCUUGUGGCCUGUGUGCAGGUGGUGCAUGGCUGUCGUCAGCUCGUGUCGUGAGAUGUUGGGUUAAGUCCCGCAACGAGCGCAACCCUUGUCCUAUGUUGCCAGCGGGUUAUGCCGGGGACUCGUAGGAGACUGCCGGGGGUCAACUCGGAGGAAGGUGGGGGAUGACGUCAAGUCAUCAUGCCCCUUAUGUCCAGGGCUUCACACAUGCUACAAUGGCCGGUACAAAGGGCUGCGAUGCCGUGAGGUGGAGCGAAUCCUUUUAAAGCCGGUCUCAGUUCGGAUCGGGGUCUGCAACUCGACCCCGAAGUCGGAGUCGCUAGUAAUCGCAGAUCAGCAACGCUGCGGUGAAUACGUUCCCGGGCCUUGUACACACCGCCCGUCACGUCAUGAAAGUCGGUAACACCCGAAGCCGG